CUCGGAUGAACCAUCCUGUGAUCUGUUUGGGCCGCUCAAAAGACGGAAGGUGGAAGGCGGAAGGCAGCAACCAGUGAAGGUUCUGGUGGAACUCGAUGAGGAGACGUUGAAGGCUCUGAAAGAGCUUCCAGGAUUGGUUGCUGCCAUCAAGACGGCACUGGACAAAAUACCAUCGGCAUGUACCAGGUCCACCCUCAGCCAGACCCCCCAACCCUCAGGCAGUGAUGCUAACGGGGACGACUUGGAUGUUCCAGGGCAACACCACCGCCCAGGUCUCCAAACGGCUCUGCUACAGAAUCGGCAGCAGACGGUUGUCCGUUUUCACUGAGGAGCUGGCCACAUUGAGUUUGGAAAAGAGACCCUGGCCAAGUCUACCUUGACUGGGAAGGGGAAAAAAGGGGCGGCCAGAGAUCAGCUUGACCCUGAAAAGAUCGAAGCCAAGGCGCAGUGUCACAUCACGGCAACCAUAUGGCCAGGGAAUGUGAAGUUAACGUCACACGUGUUGGACUGUGGGCAGCGUAGUGUCGAGCGGGAGGUCGAUCGGACCAGCUUCAGUUGGAACGCACGCUCCGAUUGGGCACGCGCUCCGAACGCACUAGUCUGUGUCAGUGUAAUACAUUGUUUAU